rnacentral:rRNA from 1 species
CCCGAAAGCUAUUUAGGUAGCGCCUCGUGAAUUCAUCUCCGGGGGUAGAGCACUGUUUCGGCAAGGGGGUCAUCCCGACUUACCAACCCGAUGCAAACUGCGAAUACCGGAGAAUGUUAUCACGGGAGACACACGGCGGGUGCUAACGUCCGUCGUGAAGAGGGAAACAACCCAGACCGCCAGCUAAGGUCCCAAAGUCAUGGUUAAGUGGGAAACGAUGUGGGAAGGCCCAGACAGCCAGGAUGUUGGCUUAGAAGCAGCCAUCAUUUAAAGAAAGCGUAAUAGCUCACUGGUCGAGUCGGCCUGCGCGGAAGAUGUAACGGGGCUAAACCAUGCACCGAAGCUGCGGCAGCGAC